ACCGAAAUAGCUCAGUCGGAGGAGCGUUAGACUAUAAAUCGAAAAGUCCCAUGUUCGAUACGGUGUUCCGUCA
rnacentral:tRNA from 1 species